rnacentral:lncRNA from 1 species
CGCUAAUUUGUCUUAUCAACUUUCAUUUCUUAAUUAAGCUCACUAGAAAUUUGAAAACAAAUUUCCAAAGAGAGAUGUUGAAAUCAAAAGAGCAAAAAAGCCCAAGGCCGCCCCAAUUGCCCAGUACAAGCCCAAAUUGAUUGGAAUACUAAUUACAACUCGAAAAGGCCCAACCAUUAUGCAGGCACAUAACAUUCAGGAAUACAUUAAGAAAUGCCAACACUAACACAACCAUGCUCAUUCACAACCUGCAAGCAUUUACAUC